UACAUAUGCAUAUAGUGUUAAUUCUAUAAAAAUGUAGUAUCAACUCACAAAGUUAUCAGGUUAAAUUAGCUUUAUCAAUGAAUAAAAAUGUUGUUGCAUGACCAAUGUCAUACCGUGGUCAAGCCACGGUAUCCAGUAAAAAUUAUUUUGCUGAGUAUCGUAGUAAAAGUUAAGAUAUGAUGUUAAGACUUUUUUUGAGUCGUGCAAUAACAUUAACAGCAAACUAUAAUACAAGUCUAUCUUUUUAAAAGUUUGUAUUGCUAGCUUGGUGGUUAUAGCAUGAGUG
rnacentral:misc_RNA from 1 species